CUGUUGUAUGAAAGGAGAGGUUAGCACUCCCCUUGCCAAGGUCCUUGGGCCUGUGCACCACAGGUACAAUAAGACACUGCACCAACUUUGUGGCUUCUCAUCAUGGCUGGGUUUUGUUUUUUUU